GACCUCGAAUCGGGUGGGACUACCCGCUGAACUUAGGCAUAUCAAUAAGCGGAGGAAAAGAAACUAACAAGGAUUCCCCUAGUAACGGCGAGUGAAGCGGGAAGAGCUCAAAUUUGAAAUCUGGCGGUCUCGCGGCCGUCCGAGUUGUAGUCUAGAGAGGCGUUAUCCGCGGCGGACCACGUACAAGUCCUUUGGGAUGCGGCAUCAUAGAGGGUGAGAAUCCCGUCCAUGACGUGGACUACCGUCGCUUUGCGUUGCGCCUUCGAAGAGUCGAGUUGUUUGGGAAUGCAGCUCAAAACGGGUGGUAAAUUCCAUCUAAAGCUAAAUACAGGCGAGAGACCGAUAGCGAACAAGUACCGUGAGGGAAAGAUGAAAAGAACUUUGGAAAGAGAGUUAAACAGUACGUGAAAUUGCUGAAAGGGAAACGC
rnacentral:rRNA from 1 species